rnacentral:rRNA from 1 species
AAAUUGAAGAGUUUGAUCAUGGCUCAGAUUGAACGCUGGCGGCAGGCCUAACACAUGCAAGUCGAACGGUAGCACAGAGAGCUUGCUCUCGGGUGACGAGUGGCGGACGGGUGAGUAAUGUCUGGGAAACUACCUGAUGGAGGGGGAUAACUACUGGAAACGGUGGCUAAUACCGCAUAACGUCGCAAGACCAAAGAGGGGGACCUUCGGGCCUCUUGCCAUCAGAUGUGCCCAGAUGGGAUUAGCUUGUUGGUGAGGUAACGGCUCACCAAGGCGACGAUCCCUAGCUGGUCUGAGAGGAUGACCAGCCACACUGGAACUGAGACACGGUCCAGACUCCUACGGGAGGCAGCAGUGGGGAAUAUUGCACAAUGGGCGCAAGCCUGAUGCAGCCAUGCCGCGUGUAUGAAGAAGGCCUUCGGGUUGUAAAGUACUUUCAGCGGGGAGGAAGGUGUUGUGGUUAAUAACC